UUCCCCUCUGCGGUAUCAUUUUCUUCUUCUCUUUUAAUAUACCUUUCUUCGUAUUCGCCAAAACUUCUCAUCUUCCUUGUCCUCUAUCAAUCGCUUUGUUUGAAACAAGAGUUUUAUAUAUAUUUCAACAUGAGACGAAACUGCAACUUGGAACUUCGCCUUCUUCCUUCUAGUUACACCGGCGACAUGAUGGAAGAUAACCCAGAAAACCAUCAGCAGCAGCUAACAAUCUUUUACAAUGGAAGAGUUUGCGUUUGUGAUGUUACAGAGCUUCAUGCAAGAGCGUUCUAAUGCUAGCAAACCGGGAAAGGGAGGGAACAAUAAAAACUCCGACGGGAUUGGAACCUUCGUCGCCCACGUUAAACUGGCCGAGCACGGCGCUUGCCAUGAAGAGAUCGCUUCAACGGUUCCUCCAAAAACGAAAAAUGCGAUUCCAAGCUGCCUCUCCUUACCAUUAUUAUAAAUAGAUCAUCCACAAUGCCUUCCAAUUUAGUUAAAUUUAAGGAACUGAACUAUUUUUUCUGCCUAGCAGUUCCACCCCCCCCCCCCUCUUUUUUUAAUUUAUGUAUGAAUUACGAUACUAGUUG